rnacentral:rRNA from 1 species
AUGAAAAUUUCAUUGUAUACUAUUGAUGCGCUAUAUGGCUCUAUGCCUCCUAUUCAUAGGUUACUUUGUGCUAGUAGGUCAUGUAAACAGAGUGAAAGAUACAGAAAGCAGCUCAGGUCCAGCCCAUAUGGUCCACCUAUCGUUGCAGGGGAGCAGGGCAUGCAUCUACAGCCGCUCCAAAAAAGCAUGCACCUACAUGGAUCCAAACCACACACUGCACACAGCCGUGUUGACAUUCUAAAGAAAAACACCUGUGUUGACAGAGGUAGUCAUGGCUCCUUCUUUGGUAAGCUACCAUUACUGUUUGGAGCUCAAUAA